rnacentral:ncRNA from 1 species
CAGAGGCGCGGAUUUCAUCAGUAUAUUCCCUUUUAUGCCAGCCAAAGGCUUGUGGGGAAUGGAAAGGGACGUCCGCCGAAGGCGGUGCACGGCACGCAUCGUUCCUGGGCCCGCAGCCGAACAGGGGCGGGACUGUCAUGUUAGGAUUAACGUGUUGCGCUGU